rnacentral:lncRNA from 1 species
AUGGCUCACAGCUGCUGUGACUGCAACCAGGAUGUAUGUGGGGCUGAGAGUUGCCCAUGGGAGCCAGGAGCUGUGCUACAGCUCACCAAGUCCCUUGAUCACGGCUUGCAAGGGCCCACAUCCAUCCAUCUGUCUGGAACGGAGUGGCAAAGCCUCCAUGGUCACAUUCACAAUUUGCAAGUUGCUGGGAUUUGCUCUGUUCUCAAGGGGAGCAGUUUGCUGUUGUGCACCAUCUCUAGUCUCUUCAGGGAACUGCCAGCUCUGCAUAUCCUUACAGCAUAUUUCCAUCCAAGAGAGCUUCUCCACAGCUUCCCUGAUCUGUCAGACGCUCAUUAUUUUGUUAUUUCCAUUCUCCUGUGUGAUUGUGCUGGUGGGAAGAGACACUCAGCAAGGCCGAACCCAAGAAUGACAGAGGGAUGUCUGAAGCACAACUUUGAUAUGAACUGA